rnacentral:lncRNA from 1 species
GUCAUCGAAGCUCAGUUCUUGCCUGAAAGUCACAAAAAGAACAUCUUUAUCAAAAUAAGACUUAAGACAUUGAAUUUGAGACAAAACAACAAGUAAGUUCAAAUUCAAUUCAAAAAUUCAAUUCUCUAAUUCUACUCAAUUCUUCUUUCUUCUUCUAAACCUAAUUACCCAAACACUCAUCAACCAAACACAUCAAGGCCGAAACACUAAACCUACAAACCUACAAAAUCGUGACCUAAAAACACUCUUACCCUACAUACACCAAAUAGACGUGACCUAAAACACCUAUACCCUCCAAAACCCAAACAAGUCGAGACACAAUCAUCCCAAAUAACCUACAAACCUACAAACUGAAACACUCAAAUACCUUACCCUACAAAAAACCACCCAAACCGAAACCCUAACCUACAAAUCUAUCCCAAACAGAACCAAACACAAUCAUUUACCCUACACACAAUCCAGCCGAGCCACAAACAAAAUCUAUUUAUAAUUUUGUGAACUUGUCACACAAUUUUGGUACUUAACUUGAUUACUUGACUCACUCAAGAAUCAAAGGAGAAAAUUUCAAAGAAAAGUGAGGGAGUGAAACCGAUGUGAAUAUGAUUAGACCUCAUAUUAAACAUGUAUAUGCGAGGAAAAAUAAAAGGGUGGAAUGGUAAUUCUUUAUGUUUUUGGUUGUAAGUAGUUAGGAAGGGAAAUUCUAUAAAAGGAAAGUUGUUGAAUGAGUGAGUUAGUUUUUUGGAAAUUAAGAAAUGAGGGAAAUAAUUGAUUUCAGGGAAAUCAGAAACCCUAGGCGUUCUAUUCCAAUUGGUGUAAGUUCUCAAUUGAAUUCUACAAUUGCAAUACAAACAAUUCAAGAUCACAUUGAUCUUGAAUCAUUCUUUUCUACCUAUCUCUAUUCUUCCAUUCUAUUAUACCAGUUGUAUCAGCAAUAUGUCAAGGUUCUUGUGAGACCCAAAAUGACCCAUCAACCCCCCUCAUUGGCUUCUCUCAAAAGUAAGUCCCUCACAGAACUCUUCGGCACACAAAGCCUUUUGUCUUUAUAAAGGAACCCUUCAUGGGCUAAAAUCAUGCAUUUGGCAUAUGGUUCAGCAAAGUCAGGGUCAUGUUCAUAUAAACCCUUUAAGCAUUCGAGACUCAUUAGUUUGGCCUCUAAAGUAGUAAUUAAGGCAUGCCUUCUUAAUAAGGCAUCAGCCACCAUAUUAACUUUUCCCUUCUUGUGUUUAAACCACAUAGGGAAAUUGCUCUAAAAAUUCCACCCACUUGGUAUGUCUCAUGUUGAGCUUGCCUUGCCCUUUUAAAUACUUAAGUGACUCGUGGUCACUAUGAAUAACAAAUUCUUUGGGCAUAAGAUAAUCUUGCCAAGUUUGCAAGGCUCUCACUAAUGCAUAAAUCUCUUUAUCAUAAGUAGAGUAGUUAAGGGAAACUCCCCCUAACUUCUCACUAAAAUAGACAAUAGGAUGCCCAUCUUGCAUUAGAACAGCACCAAUUCCCACAUUGGAAGCAUCACACUCAAUUUCAAAAGAUUUUGCAAAAUUUGGCAAUCUUAGUAUAGGGGGCGUGUAUGAGCUUUUCUAUUAUCCUCUUGAAGGCAUCUUCUUAUUUUUCUCCCCAAUGGAAUCCCACAUUCUUUUUUACCACUUCAUUUAGAAGUGCGACCAAGGUACUAAAAUCCUUGACAAACCUCUUAUAAAAACUAGCUAGUCCAUGAAAACUUCUUACAUCUGUGGUACUCUUUAGGGUACGCCAUUCCUGGAUAGCCUUUAUUUUCUCAGGAUCUACGUGUACCACAUUGACACUAAUAAUGAAACCAAAGAUUAUUACGUGAUCAACACAGAAGUUGCACUUCUCAGGGUUAGUGUAUAGCUUUUUUUUCCUUAAUAUAAGCAAAACAAUUUUUAGGUGUUCAUAAUGCUCAUCAAGACUCUUGCUAUAUAUAAGGAUGUCAUCAAAGUACACAAUUACAAAUUUCCCAAGGAAAUCUCUUAGAACGUGGUUCAUAAGCCUCAUAAAUGUGUUUGGCACAUUGGUUAAGCCAAAAGGCAUAACCAUCCACUCAUACAAGCCAUAUUUUGUUUUAAAGAUUGUUUCCACUCAUCCCCUUCCCUAAUCCGAAUUUGAUGGUACCGACUCUUCAAAUCCACUUUUGAAAAUAUGCAGGCCCCACUCUUCAAAUCCACAAAAGUAAGUACAUGGACUGUCUUGUGAUCAAGGCAUGUUUUAGUUCACCCUUUGUGACAAAAUAACUCUUUUUAGGAUCAUUUCGAUCAUUCUUUUUCACUUGUCUAGGGUCUAUGGUUUCAGACGUGUCCUCUUUUGUACUUUUAUUCUACAUUAAUCAUCACUCACUUGCUUUUGAGACAAGGGUGAUAAGACCAUUUUAUGAUUAUGAUGCAUAAACAUGUACUUAUUAGAACGAGCAUCAUAGUUGCCAUUCUUAUCAUACUGCCAUGGUCUACUCAAAAGCAUAUGGUUGGCCUCCAUGUUUACCACAUCACAAAGGACUAUGUCCUCAUAUUUUCCAAAAGAAAAAGGCACUCUAGUCUGAUUAUUAACGACCAUCUCCCCAACAUCACUAAGCCAUUGCAGUCUAUAUGGUGUUGGGUGUGCCUUGGUGUUAAGCUUUAACUUAGACACCAAUCUUGUACUAACCACGUUCGCACAACUCUGUCCAUCAAUGAUGAGGGUACAAACAUUACUUUUCACAAGGCAGCGAGAGUGAAAUAUGUUCUCUUUUUUAUUCUACUCAUGGUCUCAGUUUUGAUUCCCAAGGAUCCUUCUAACCAUGAGUAUAUCACCAUCGGGUACAUAAAGAACACCUUCACUAUCAUGUUCCUCAUCACUAGAUGCCUCAGAUUGAGACUCAAUAUCUCUAUUUAGGACCACCAUAGUUCUCAUCGUGGGGCAUUGAGAAGCAAUAUGGCCACGACCCAAGCCUUUGAAGCACUUGAUGGCAUGGCUUCUUUAAUUAGGAUCCAAAGGUUAUUUGUCUUGAGACUUGGCUGCUCUCACGACCUCUUUAGUGAUAUGGCCACUCUCCUUUGUUGCAUUGUCCUCCUUCUUAGAUUUGUCCUUCCAAGUAUUAGAUGAAUACUUGGAUGCUGAAUUAGAAGAGUACUUAGACUUCCUCCUCUUUAGUUGUUGUUCCUCCUUGAUGGCCUUUUGAACAAGAUCAUCUAACUCAACAUAAGGCUAUAGCUCCAUAACAUUUUGUAUCUCAGGGUUCAACCCAUGUAGGAAUCGAGCCAAUGUAGCUUCUUAGUCCUCAUGGAAGUUGGACCUAAGUAGGGCCAGCUCCAUCUCUUUGAAGUACUCAUCAACUAAUUUGCCUCCUUGAGUUAGCCUUUGUAAGUUAUUGUGCACAUCGCUUUGGUAAGAACUAGGGACAAUUCUCCACCUAAUCACCAUCUUCAUCUCUCCCCAAGUGUUUACUACAUCUUCAUCAUAUAUUCUUCUCUCCUUUUGGAUCUGGCCCCACCACACCGUAACAUAUUUCUUAAACUCUGAUGCAACCACCUUCACCUUUUUCUCUUCACUAUAAUGGUGACAUUUGGACACUUGCUCCAUUUUUAAUUCCAACUCAUGAUAGGCCUCUAGGUUAUUUAGUCCUAAGAAUGUAAGGACUUUUAUUUUGACCCCCUCUAACCUUUCCUCCCUCCUCCUUUCACCACGACCUCCCUCAUAAUCAUCAUAUCUCUCUCUCCUAUGGCCUCCCUCAUACUCCUCCUCCUCAUGUCUCCAUCUCCUCGCACCACGACCUUUAUCCUCCUCACGCCUCCCUCUUCUAUUUCUCCUCCUCUUAUGGUGUACAUCACUACUAGAAUCACCAUCCAGCCUCUUAUCAACAUGUAUUAUCAUUUGAUCCAUUUUCUCUAUAAAGCCUGCAAUUGGGUGUUCAUCAUAGCAUCUAACACAACUGUCCUUGGUGAUAAUGGUGAACCGCUAUCUUCUGGACUAGUCAUAUUACUACUCUCCUCACUUUUAUAUCAAGUGUUUAUGGUUUCACUCCCUCACUUUUCUCUCAAGUGUUUAAGUAUUUAUGAUGUGAAGCUCUUUUUGAAGUUCUCGAUAAUGAUUUAUCUUGAUUGGUGCAUUACUUUGCCCACAUUUUUCUGGGCUAUUUUGAUGGUUAAUUUUGGUAACGGAUUGAUAUUGUAAGAUAAAAGAAGAUGGGUAAGAAAUGAGGUGGUAGGCGCCAUAACACUUGAGUGUUGAUAAGUCGGGUGAUGUUCGCCACAAGAACUAGGUUCUUGAAAGAACUUUUAAUCUUGGUUCAGCCAAUAAGUUUGGAGAAGACAAAACUCUCACACAAGGAAAUAUUUCUCAAUUUUUAACUCAAAACAAAACUUGGUUUCCAUUCAGCAAAAUGAAAGUACACUUAUAGGCAAACCAUGAUGGUUCCCACGUGACCCUCGUAUGGAUUAAGACUCAUUUUGGGCUAGAUUAAUCCUACUUCAUGGCUGGUUACAUUGGAUCCUUUUCCAGUCAUGCUUGACAUGAAAUAAAGCAAGUAAAUAUCCCACAUGGGAAUUCCUAAGUAAUUAAAUUCCAAAAUGUAAGAUACACUUUAGCCUAGGAUUCCUUAAUUCUUUGGAGAAAUUUGGCCAUCAUUGAAUGCCAGGGUCCCCACGAGUUUAAGGAAGCAAUUUGGACUUUGAAUUGUGCAUUUAGACUUGGCUGGAUGCAUUGCACGAAAAUCACAUCCACACUUGUCAUGAUCUUGGAGCACUCUCCUUGAUGCCUUUCAUGAGUAAUCCUAGUGCAUCUUGCAUCUCAUGAGCAACUUCAUCUCAACCCAUGAAUCAAUAGGCUUGGAUCCUUCCUCCUUCUUCUUGCUUUCCUCCUUCUUCCUCAUCACUUCAGUAAUUGUUUGCACGAUCCUUCUUCCUCUCCAAACCUUAAGAAGGGAGAUGGAGCAAAUGAGAGUGGAAUAUGAUAUAAGGCUUGGUUAUCGUGCAAACGAUUACUGAAGUGAUGAGGAAGAAGGAGGAAGGAGGAGAGCAAGAAGAAGAAGGAAGGAACCGAGCCUAUUGAUUCAUGGGUUGAGAUGAAGUUGCUCAUGAGAUGCAAGAUGCACUAGGAUUACUCAUGAAAGGCAUCAAGGAGAGUGCUCCAAGAUCAUGACAAGUGUGGGUGUGAAUUUCGUGCAAUGCAUCUAGCUAAGUCUAAAUGUACAAUUCAAAGUUCAAAUUGCUUCCUUAAACACGUGGGGACCAUGACAUUGAAUGAUGGCCGAAUUUCUCCAAAGAAUUAAGGAAUCCUAGGCUAAACUGCAUCACUUCUUCAUGGAAAUUCAAAGUAUCUUGCAUUUUGUAAUCUAAUUACUUAGGAAUUUUCAUGUGGGAUAUUUACUUGCUUUAUUUCGUGUCAACCAUUUCUAGAAAAGGAUCCAAUGUAACCAGCCAUGAAGUAUGAUUAAUCUAGCCCAAAAGUAGUCUUAAUCCAUAGGAGGGUCAUGUGGGAACCAUCAUGGUUUGCUUAUAAGUGUACUUCCAUUUGGCUGAAUGGAAACCAAGUUUUGUUUUGGGUUAAAAAUUGAGGAAUAUUUCCUUGUGAGAAAGCUUUGUCUUCUCCAAACUUCUUGGAUGAACCAAGAUUAAAAGUUCUUAACAAGAACCAAGUUCUUGUGGCGAACAUCACCCGACUUAUUAACACCCAAGUGUUGUUGCGCCUACCACCCCAUUUCUUACCCAUCUUCUUUUAUCUUACAAUAUCAAUCCGCUGCCAAAAUUCACCAUCAAAAUAACUCAAAAAAACGUGGGCAAAGUAAAGCAUCAAUCAAGAUAGAUCAUUAUCAAGAACUUCCAAAAGAGGUUCACAUCAGAAAUACUUAAACACUUGAGAGAAAAGUGAGAGAGUGAAACACUAAACACUUGAUAGAAAAGUGAGGAGAGUAGUAUUAUACCUAGUCCAGAAGAUAGUGGUUCACCAUUAUUACCAAGGACAACCGUGUUACAUGCUAUGAAGAACACCCAAUUUCAGGCUUUAUAGAGACAAAUGGAUCAAAUGAGCAUACAUGUUGAUAGGAGGUUGGAUGGUGAUUCUAGUAGUGAUGUAGACCAUAGGAGGAGGAGGAGGAGAAAUAGGAGAGGGAGGCGUGAGGAGGAUGAGGGCCGUGGUGAGAGGAGAGGGGGACAUGAGCAGGAUAAGUAUAAGGGAGGCCAUAGGAGAGGGAGAUAUGAGGAUGAUGAUUAUGACGGAGGCCGUGGUGAAAGGAGGAGGGAGGAAAGGUUAGAGGGGGUCAAAAUAAAAGUCCAUACAUUCUUAGGACUAAAUAACCUAGAGGCCUAUCAUGAGCGGGAAUUAAAAAUGGAGCAAAUGUUCGAAUGUCACCAUUAUAGUGAGGAGAAAAAGGUGAAGGUGGCUGCCAUAGAGUUUAAGGAGUAUGCUAUGAUAUGGUGGGACCAGUUCCAAAAGGAAAGAAGGAGAUAUGAUGAAGAUGUAGUAAACACUUGGGGAGGGAUGAAGAUGGUGAUGAGGAAUUGAUUUGUCCCUAGUUCUUACCAAAGGGAUGUGCAUAAUAAAUUACAAAGGUUAACUCAAGGAGGCAAAUCAGUUGAUGAGUACUUCAAAGAGACGGAGUUGGCCCUACUUAUGUCCAACAUCCAUGAGGACUAAGAAGCUACAAUGGCUCGGUUCCUACAUGGGUUGAACCCUAAGAUACAGGACGUUGUGGAGCUACAGCCUUAUGUUGAGUUAGAUGAUCUUGUUCAAAAGGCCAUCAAGGGGAACAACAACUAAAGAGGAGGAAGUCUAAGUACUAUUCUAAGUUAGCAUCCAUUCAUCUAAUACUUGGAAGGACAAAUCUAAUAAGGAGGGCAAUGCAACAAAUGAGAGUGGCCCUAACACUAAAGAGGUCGUGGUGACAGCCAAGCCCCAAGGCAAACAACCUAUGGAUCCCAAUGAAAGAAGUCGUGACAUCAAGUGCUUCAAAUGUUUGGGUCGUGGCCAUAUUGCUUCUCAAUGCCCCACGAGGAGAACUAUGAAGGUCCUAAAUGGAGAUAUUGAGUCUCAAUCUGAGGCAUCUAGUGAUGAGGAACAUGAUAGUGAGGGUGAUCUUUAUAUGCCUGGUGGUGAUAUACUCAUGGUUAGAAGGCUCCAAGGGAGUCAAAACUGAGAUCAUGAGGAGAAUCAAAGAGAGAACAUAUUUCACUCUCAUUGCCUUGUGAAAUGUAAUGUUUGUACCCUCCUCAUUGAUUGAUGGAGUUGUGCUAACAUGGUUAGUACAAUAUUAGUGUCUAAGUUAAAGCUUAACACCAAGGCACACCGAACACCAUAUAGGCUGCAAUGACUUAGUGAUGUUGGGGAUAUGGUCGUUAAUAAACAGGCUGAAGUGCAUUUUUCUAUUGGAAAAUAUGAGGAUGUAGUCCUCUGUGAUGUGGAAAACAUGGGGGUCAGCUAUAUGCUUUUGGGUAGACCAUGACAUUACGAUAAGAAUGCCAACCAUGAUGGUUGUUCUAAUAAGUACACGUUUAUGCAUCAUAAUCAUAAAAUGGUCUUAUCAUCCAUGUCUCCAAAGCAAGUGAGUGAUGAUCAGUGUAGGCUGAAAGAAAAGAUAGACCAAGAAAAGAAAGAGGCCACGACUGAAACCAUAGACCAUAGUCAAGUCAAAAAGAAUGAUCGAAAGGAUCCUAAAAUGAGUUAUUUUGUCACAAAAGGUGAAGUAAAACAUGUCUUGAUCACAAGGAAGCCCAUAUACUUACUUUUGUGCAAAAGCUUUUGCUUGAGUAGCACGACUAUUGAGAAGACUACUAUGCCUCAAUUCUUGAAAGACUUCUUGAAUGAGUUCAAUGAUGUGUUCCCUGAAGAAGUCCCUAGUGGCCUUCCACCUUGGAGGGGCAUAAAAAAUCAUAUUGGCCUAAUUGUUGGUGCUUUAUUGCCCAAUGGGCCUGCCUAUAGGAGCAACCCUCAAGAAACUCACGAAAUACAAAAACAAGUUGAGAAGUUUAUGCACAAAGGAUGGGUCCAAGAAAGUCUAAGUCCUUGUUUCGUCCCAGUCAUCCUAGUCCCAAAGAAAAAUGGAGCCUGGAGGAUGUGCACUGAUUGUAAGGCCAUAAACAACAUCACGAUCAAGUAUAGACAUCCCAUUCCUAGAUUGGAUGAUCUCCUAGAAGAAUUACGUGGGGCCUCCAUCUUUUCAAAAGUGGAUUUGAAGAGUGGGUACAAUCAAAUUUGGCACACAAAGCCUUUUGUCUUUAAAAAGGAACCCUACAUGGGCUAAAAUCAUGCAUUUGGCAUAUGGUUCAGCAAAGUCAGGGUCAUGUUCAUAUAAACCCUUUAAGCAUUCGAGACUCAUUAGUUUGGUCUCUAAAGUAGAAAUUAAGGCAUGCCUUCUUGAUAAGGCAUCACCCACCACAUUAAAUUUUCCCUUCUUGUGUUUAACCACAUAGGGAAAUUGCUCUAAAAAUUUCACCCACUUGGCAUGUCUCCUGUUGAGCUUGUCUUGCACUUUUAAAUACUUAAGUGACUUGUGGUCACCAUGAAUAAAAAAUUCUUAGGGCAGAAGAUAAUGUUGCCAAGUUUGCAAGGCCCUCACUAAUGCAUAAAGGUCUUUAUCGUAAGUGGAGUAGUUAAGGGAAGCUCCCCCAACUUCUCACUAAAAUAGGAAAUAAGAUGCCCAUCUUGCGUUAGAACAACACCAAUUCCCAAAUCCACUUUUGAACAAACUAUGACCAAAACUUCACAAAUCAAGUAUACAAAUAAAUCAAAUUGAGGCCUUCUAAGGCAAAGUUACUACAAGUGUUCAAUCAAACAUCAAGUGAAUCAAUUAUCAAUCAAAUUAGGACUUUCACAAAAAAACGAUCUUACAAGCAAAGACAACCCACAAAGAGGUUGUCAUCAUAAACCGCCACAAAUCAAACCCCCAAUGAAAAGCCCAACCAAACGUGGGAAAGUUUUUGCUAUGAGCGGAGUCGAAGCGAAGGAGUCGCCAGACCUUAUACAAGGUAAGUGCCUGAUAAAUGGAAUUCCCUAUAUGGUUCUAUAUGAUUCAUGAGCUACACAUUCCUUCUUAGCAUAUAGUUGUGUACAAUGAGUAGGAUUGAAGAUCGCUCUUUUGCCCUAUAAGUUAGUCGUAGAAGCGCCUAUGAAAACUUUGGUGAUGACGUCCAAGGCAUGCCUGCAAUGCCUAAUUGUGAUUUAGGAAAGAGCCUUUAUAGUAAACCUAAUUUUCCUACCCUUACUACCCAAGAGAGAGGUAGAGUUCUCGAUAGAUUUAAUUCCCGAAACAGAACCCAUCUCUAUGGCUCCUUAUAUAAUGGCCUCGUUUGAUUUACUUGAACUUAAAAAGCAACUAGAAGACAUGAUGAGCAAGCAAUUUAUUAGGCCAAGUGUAUCUCCGUUGGGUGCUCUAGUGUUAUUUUUGAAGAAAAGGGAUUGAAGCAUGAGAUUAUGUGUAGAUUACAGACAAGUCAACAAAGUGGCUAUUAAGAACAAAUACCCACUUCCUCGAAUUGAUGACCUAAUGUAUCAAUUAAAAGGAGCGUCAAUCUUCUCUAAGAUCAAUUUACGAUCAGGUUAUCAUCAGAUCCGAGUUAGAAAGUAAGAUAUCCUAAAGAAUGCCUUCCGUAUCCGAUAUGGAUAUUAUGAAUACCUUGUAAUACCUUUCAGAGUCACGAAUGCUCCAGUUGUAUUCAUGGAAUACAUGAACCAGAUCUUCUGACCAUUCUUAGAUAAGUUCGUUGUAGUAUUCAUUGACGACAUCUUAAUAUAUUCUAAGACCACAAAAGAACAUGUUGAACAUUUGAAGACUAUUCUAAACAUGUUGAAGGAGAGGCAGUUGUAUGUCAAAUUAUCGAAAUGUGAAUUCUAGUGCGAAGAAGUACAUUUUUUGGGUCGUUGAAUCACACAAAAUGGUAUUGCAAUUGACCAAACCAAGGUAGGAGCUUUAUUACAAUAGGAAAGUCCUCAAUUCGUGACAGAGAUUACAAGUUUCCUCAGAUUAGAAGGCUACUAUAGAUGAUUCCUAGAAGUCUUUUCUAAAUUGGCUUUGCCUCUAACCAAGUUGAAUCGAAAGGGACAAACUUUUGAGUGGUCACUUCAGUGUGAGAAUAGCUUCCAUGAACUGAAGAAAAUAUUAUUAUUCAUCCCCAGUUCUUAUACUUCCAGAUCCAAACGAUGGAUUCGAGGUGUAUUGUGAUGCUUCCAAGUCGAGCCUCAGAUGUAUAUUAAUGCAAGAUAAAAGAGUAGAAGCUUAUGCAUCUCGACAACUUAGACCGCAUGAAGAGAAUUACCCUACCCAAGAUUUAGAAUUGGCAGCAGUAGUGUUCGCUUUGAAAAUAUGGAGACUUUAAUUGUAUGGGUCGAAGUUUGAAGUAUUCAGUGACAUAAGAGUUUAAAAUAUAUGUUCGGUCAAAAGGAAUUGAACAUGAGGCAACAUAGAUAGGUUGAAUUCUUGAAGGACUACGAUUUUGACCUCCAACAUCAUCCAGGAAAAGCAAAUGUGAUAGCAGAUACGUUAAGCUGAAAAUCAUUACAUGUAGCAAGAAUGAUGGUUAAAGAAUUGGAACUAUUAGAAUAUUUCAGAGAUAUGAACAUGGAUGUAUGUCUUCUAGAAGAAAAAAUAGUUUUGGGAAUAAUGAAAAUCAAGAAUUUGAGCCCACGAUUCAUCAGACCCUAUCAAGUUAUUGAAAGAGUUGGACGUAUAUUGGAUAGCUUUACCCCCAUCACUAUCCAACCUUCAUGACGUGUUUCACGUAUCUUAACUCAAGAAAUAUAUACCAUAUUUCUCCCAUGUGAUUGAAUUGGAUAAUCUUCCUUUAAAGGAGAACCUGACCUUUGAAGCAACCCCUAUUAAUUAGCAUAGAUAGGAAGGAUAAGCAACUCAGAGGAAGAGAAAUUCCUCAGGUAAAAGUAUUAUAGAGUAAGAACCAAGAUAAUGACGCAACGUGGGAACUAGAGAGUGGGAUGCAUAAUUCAUAUCCCUAUCUCAUCGGUAAGUAAAUCGUGCCCAAAUUUCAAAGACAAUAUUUCUCAAAGGGUGGGAGUAAUGCCACAUCCCUCUUUUUAGCUCUCUACUUAGGUAGAUAUAGGAUAGGUAGGAUAUAUGUAUAUAUAUGUGUCGAUAUAUGCUUGCUUUUAUAUUUGUGUUAAUUAUAGAAAAUAUGUAUAUAUUCUCUAGGUAUGUUAUAUGAGUUGCUCAGAUGAGGACUAGCUUACUUGAAUGACAAGUAGCCAAUCAAUGGGACUUACUAGAGAAGUGAGGAAUUUGAUUUCUCAUUAAGGAGCUAUAUAAAUAUAUUUCUAGUAUAGGAGUAAGUUUUUAUAUGAGUUGAGGAUGGGGAAAAUAAGCCAAUUUGGUCAUACGUUGCAAAACCAUCCAAAUUUUAGGAUUACCCGUUAUUGGUUAAGUUUAUCGUUACGAAAGCUCGAUCGGUAUGGCAUGAGCGACUUUAUAACCUAUGUGACUUCUCGAUAAGUCAUUAGGAUUGAGUUGUAAAAAUUAGGUUUUCAUUGUAAACUUUUGUGAAGAAGAUAUUGUUCCUGACAUUGACACAGUUUUGAUGAAGUGACAAACAUCAAAUAAAGAAGAAAAUGAAGAAUACUUUUAAACACAAUAAAAAUAAAGCUUCAAUGAAUUAGAAUCUAAGAUAUUAGGUACUUCUAUACUUAUAUCCUAUUACAUACAAAUAGUAGUAAUGCUCAAAAGUAUUUUAAGAGAAAAUUGAAACCUACAAGUAUAAAUGAAAACAAUUUUCAAAAUAUUGUGUAAUAGGUUACUAUGACCAAGUAACAAGUUAACAAAACUAAGUAGCAGGUUACAUGAGUGAGAAACGAGUUACCCAACAAAAACUAAACAUGGUAAUUGAUUACACAUUGCAGUAAUCAGGUAUUCAGUUAAACAAAAUACUUGGGUAAUCGAUUACAUCAUGUGAGUAUCGAUUACACUGUAUGACAAUUAGUUAUUCAGUGGACAUAACGUUUGGGUAAACGAUUACAACCUUUGGGUAAUCAAUUACACUGUGUGAUAAUCAAUUACUCAGUUGAACAGAAUGUUUGGAUAAUCGAUUACGUCAAUGCUGUAAUCGAUUACUGAGAGUUGUUGCACUAGUUUUCAGAUUCAAACUGCACAAGCUUUCACUCCAAACGAAAUGGUCUCAUUCCAAUCAAUUCCUACCUUUUCAUUGAGGUGCUAUGGCUGAUCGAAAAGCCUAUUUAAAGGCAUUGAAACUCACAACUAAAAAACAACUCAUACACACAAUUUAAACUUUUCUGAAAUACUUGUUUUGCAUUUUUUGCAAGUUGUUCUUAACUUUCAGAUUAUAUUUUCUGAUGUUGCUUCAAGUGUAGUUUUCAAAGAUAUUCAAACUUUUUGAGCAUUAUUAUUAAGUGUGUAUAAAGGGUUAUUGGAUUGCAAGAGUUCAUAGGUUCAAAUCUUGUAAAGGCAAUCCUUGUCAUAGUUAAAAUUUCUUCAUUCAAAUUGUUGAAUUACUCUCUCUCACAAGAGUGUGAUAAGAAAUGGGAUAGAGUCACUUGGAAAAUGUUUUUUCCAAAUAGUGAUAUAGGUAUUAGAGAGUGAGUAAGGUACAAGGAAAUCUUGGGGUGAGAAAUUGUAAUUGAUACUAUUAAUAUCUAGUGAAGAAAUCUCAUAUACUACAAGAGUACUGGACAUAACCUUAGGUGGACAAGAAGGUGAAACAGUACAAAAAUCUGUGAGUAUUAUCUUUUCCCUUAUCUCUAUAAAUUUGUUUGUUAUUUUUCUGCAUAACCUUUUCCACUACUGCUAACUCGUAUAAUUGUAGAAAAAUCUGUCAAAGUUUUAAGACAACUAAUUCACUCACCUCUUAGUUGUCAUCUCAGUUACAAUUGGCACCAAAGUUUUUUUGAGUAAUUUAUUCUCAAAUCUAAUCAUGCAUCUAAGAUGGCUGCAAGAUCAUUUCUGGGAGAAGGUUCCAACAUCAACCGUCCUCCAAGUUUUGUUGGAGAAUGUUAUGACUUCUGGAAAAUAAGAAUAAAAAUCUUUAUAGAAUCUCAAGAUCUGGACAUUUGAAAUGCGAUUGAGGAAGGACCCUAUGAACCCGGAAGUACCCGACCUGUGUUCUCGUAAAAUCUUUGUUUUCUAGGACCCCGAGCCUGAUGUGCUUUUAGUCAAACAUUUCAGGACCCUAAGCCUGUUGUGAAUUUCCGAGUUCCAGCAGUACCCGACCUGAGUUCUCGUACUACAAUAUUUUCUUUUUAGUACUUCGAGUCUGAUGUGUUUUCAAUCAAACUUUCCAGGACCCCGAACCUGAUGUGAAUUUCCGAGUUCUGGCAGUAACCAACAUGUGUUCUCAUACUUAUUUAUUGCCUCGAGUUCUAACAGAAUCUCUAUGUGUUCUCAUUCUAAUUGCGACAUUGUGUUCAUUGUGUCAGCGUUGACAAAAUUAAUGUUCAUUUAUUUACUAAUUAUUUACUACAAUAGCAUACAAACAUUUGUUUUCUUGCUAUCAAGUAAACAACUAUUAAAAUGGGUAGUUGCGAACAACCAAUUUUGUUGACCUAUUUCAAAAAAUAAAAAUAUGCAAAAUUUCAAAACAACGAAAUAUUCUAAAAGAGCACUUUUUAUGUUUUAGGACUAAUUGUACCUCCUUUAAUUGAUAAUUUUUUAACGCACAGUUAGAAAACCUUUAGUUUCUCACUUGUUAAAGUUUUAAUUAAAAUUAAAAUCAUAUUGAUUGAAUGUUACAAAACAGCCAAAGAGCAUAUGAUAUCUAAGAGGGAGAAGAAAUCAAAUAUCUCUCUUCUGUUCCAACCAAGAGAAACACUUGAUAACAUAACUCCAAAAACAACUGCCCAACAGAAAACGUUACUAAAAUGAGAAAAGAAAGAGUCAAUACAGAAGUGACAUAAAAUGAGAAUUAGAGUGCCAAAGAAAGCUUACACAUAUGUUAUCUUACACUUUGUGUUACUAUGUCUCAUGUGCAUGUGAUUGGUCAGAAAAAUAUAUUUAAGUUACAAUUUAAUUAUUAAAUAUUUUUCUGACCAAUCAUAAGUCCAUGAUACAUGGAGUGAAACAAAAUAUGAGACAACAUAUGUACUCCGCAAAGGGGCAUAGGAAAAACACACAAAAAAUUGAGAAAAAAAGGAGUGAAACAUGAAACAAGCAAUAAGAGAGUAACAUCAACACCAUUAUCAACCAUUUCAAAGAAACCCAACCAGUGACUUCAUAUCUUUACAUUCCCACCAAUCAUCAUAUAUUAUCUUCUAGUCUCUCUUCAAUUCUCACACUCAUAUACACACUCAAGAUAACAGAACACACACACAUUAUAUACACACAAAAUGGCUAUCACAUAGAACACACGUAACACAGCACGACAUAAAAUAGUAAUCAGAGACACUAUGUCAAACUAGAAAGGAGCAUCGGCAUUAAGGAUAAAAAAAGAGAAAUGUGAAAGGAUCCCUAAGAUGAAAACGAAGAUUAACCAGAAACAAGAAGGCGACAUUUAAAGGUCAAAGAGAAAGGUAAACUCAGGUAAGCUACUCAUCUUACUCAUUCAAGUAGUUACAAACAGAAAUGUAAUUUUUCAUUAUGUAUCCUGAAUCUCAAAGAAGAUACCCCUCAUAUAUUCAUAUAAUUCAUAUCUAUAUCAUAAAUGGAGGACUGAAUCUAUAGCAUAUAUAUAGGGCUUCUCAUAUAUCCAAAGUUAGAUUGUAUAGAACAUACUUGGAAGGGCCAUUGCUGUCCCAAAGAGGGAAACCAAUUAUGUGUAGCUGGUGGUCCGGCGAGAAGGCAGAAAUGGUUUCCCCCACUGGUGGAACCUCACUGGCUCGCUGCCAUAGGGGCCUCUGACCCUCUAUAGACCGGUUCAGAACCUAUCCCAAACUCAUCCCCAACGAAUAAAACUGUCACCUUGUAUAGCGUCCAUGCCAUGAGAUUUGCUUGCGGUUGAGCAACCAUUGUAAACCACCGCGAAUAACUACCAAAAGAAGUCGUCCUCGCCGAUGGUGGAAGAGAACUAGUUGUUAUCACCGGAGAAGAGAAGAAAAGCGGAAUAGAGGAGAAGAGAACCACCACGAAUCACCAAGAGACUUCGAAAACAAGACAAGAUCGUGGAGUUAUGUCAUCGACGAGACAUUUUCAGUUGGCUUGGCUCCGGCCUCCAUGCUGGAACCACUGUCAUCGUUGCAAGAAAGGGGAAGAUAGUGAGAUUAGGGAUUUGGUUCCCUUUUCUUUAGAUGGCAUGAAGGUAUGGGGUU